UACGUAGGGUGCGAGCGUUAAUCGGAAUUACUGGGCGUAAAGCGUGCGCAGGCGGUUCGUUGUGUCGGUGGUGAAAGCCCCGGGCUUAACCUGGGAAUGGCCAUGGAAACUGGCGAACUGGAGUGUGGCAGAGGGGGGUGGAAUUCCGCGUGUAGCAGUGAAAUGCGUAGAGAUGCGGAGGAAUACCGAUGGCGAAGGCAGCCCCCUGGGCCAAUACUGACGCUCAUGCACGAAAGCGUGGGGAGCAAACAGG
rnacentral:rRNA from 1 species